rnacentral:lncRNA from 1 species
AAACCCCUUAAAAACCAGUAUAGACCCCUAAAAACCACUAAAACCCCCUCAAAACACCUAUAAACCCCUUAAAAUCCACUAUGAACCCUUCAAACCCACUGAAAACCUUAAAAUCCACUAAAACCCCUUAAAGACACUUUUAAACCCCUCAAAAACCUUUAUAAACCCCUAAAGACCACUAAAAACACUUAUAAACCCAUCAAAAACCACUAUAAACCCUUAAAAACAACUAAAAACACUUUUAAACCCCUCAAAAACCACUAGAAACACUUUUAAACCCCUCAAAAGCCAAUAUAAACUCUUAAAAACGACUAAAACCCCUUAAAACACAUAUAAACAUUCAAAAACCAUUAUAAACCCUUAAAAACCACUAAAAACCCCUAAAA